GGGGGGCUGAGCCUUGAGGGGGCAGCAGGGAGCACCCUCUCUGAGCCGCUCCCCUUCUCUCCCAGGCCAGAGGCACCAAGCCCCCGGAGGGCACCCAGGCCGUGGGGCCAGAGGAGCGGGAGGCGCCCCCUAGGGGCCGGAGGAGCGUGCCACGUCCCACCCUGAAGCUGGAGGAGGAGGAGGACGACGAGGAGGAAGAGGAGGAGGAGGAAGACGAGGAGGAAGAGGAGGACGACGAGGAGGAAGAGGAGGAGGAGGAGGAAGCAAAGGCUCUGGAGGGGAAGGAGGCUUCUCGGGGGAUGGUGGAAGCCUGGGCCCCAGGCCCUCAGGCGAGCAACUCACCCCAGGAAAUCAGGGGGUCCUGGCAGGAGAAGGGGGGGCUUAUGGUCCCAGCACCCCAACAGACAGGAGUGCCCAUAUCCCCAGCACCCCAGGAAGUGGGAGGGGGCCGAUCUCCGGCACCCCAGGAAGUGGGGUGGCCUGAGGCCCAGGGAAUGGAGGGCCCCAGAUCACCAGGGCCCCAAGAAAGGGGGUCAGCCCAGGCCCUGGAGCCCCAGGAGACAGAGGGGCCCAGAGCUCCCGAGCCCCAGGAAAGGGGGGUGACCAGGCCCUCGGAAUCCCAGGGAAGUGGAACAGCUGUGACUCCAGCCCCCGAGGAGAAGGGGGAGCCCAGCCUGCCAGACCCCCAGGAAAAGGGGGAGUCCAGCCCAAUGGCCCCCCAGAAGGAGGAGGAGCCCAGCCUGCCAGCUCCCCAAGAGAAGGGGGAGUUCAGCCUGCCAGCCCCUCACAAGAAGAGGAAGUCCAGCCUAACAGCCCCCCACGAGAAGGGGGAGCCCAGCCUACUGGCCCCCCACGGGAAGGGGGAGCCCAGCCCACCAGCCCCCCAGGCAAAGGGGGAGGCCAGCCCACCGGCCCACCAGGAGAAGGGGCAGCCCAGCCCAACGGCUCCCCUGCUGGAGGAUUCCCCAGAGAAGAAGGGAGUGGCUGGACUCCAGGAAGACAAGGGGGUCCCCGAGGAGGAGGCAGAGGAGCCCCCUGAG
rnacentral:lncRNA from 1 species